rnacentral:rRNA from 1 species
UCCCACCCUUUGUGAACAUACCUCUGUUGCUUUGGCGGCUCUCGCCGCGAGGGGAGGCCCUGAAAAGGGCCCGCCCCCCUCGCGCGCCCUCCGCCAGAGGACCUUCAAACUCCAGUCAGUAAACGUCGACGUCUGAUACACAAGUUAAUAAACUAAAACUUUCAACAACGGAUCUCUUGGUUCUGGCAUCGAUGAAGAACGCAGCGAAAUGCGAUAAGUAAUGUGAAUUGCAGAAUUCAGUGAAUCAUCGAAUCUUUGAACGCACAUUGCGCCCCUUGGCAUUCCGAGGGGCAUGCCUGUUCGAGCGUCAUUACAACCCUCAAGCUCUGCUUGGUAUUGGGCGCCGUCCUCUCUGCGGACGCGCCUCAAAGACCUCGGCGGUGGCUGUCCAGCCCUCAAGCGUAGUAGAAUACACCUCGCUUUGGAGCGGCUGGCGUCGCCCGCCGGACGAACCUUCUGAACUUUUCUCAAGGUUGACCUCGGAUCAGGUAGGGAUACCCGCUGAACUUAAGCAUAUCAAUAAGCGGAGGA